CCAAGCAGGCUCCACACUGUCAAUGCAGAGCCUGACAAGGGGCUCCAUCUCACGACUGUGAGAUCAUGACCUGCGCCAAAAUCAAGAGUUGGCUGCUUAACCGACUGAACCACCCAGUUGCCCCGAGGGCAUCCUCUUCUUAAAUUCAGAGCUGCUGUUCAGAAACAUAGUCUUCCUGGUACAUGAGGACUGGAGUCUGUAAGUUCACACAGAGCUGUGAAGAUGCCUGGGGUCCAAAACACCCAAGGAGAACACAGAGGCCUGGCCAAUGCCAUUCUAGCAUCUGGUGUCCAUUGUUCAACCAAGGGAGUUUGUUUGAACAAAAGAAUCCUCUCACCAGUCGGUGUUAGGAAAAAUUAAGUAGCAUUCUUUUUUAAAUUUUUUUUAAUGUUUAUUUUUUUGAGAGAGACAGAGCACAAGUAGGGGAGAGGCAGAGAAAGAGGGAGACACAGAAUCCGAAGCAGACUCCAGGCUCUGAGCUGUCAGCACAGAACCCGAUGUGGGGUUCGAACCCACGAACCUCAAGAUCAUGGCCUGAGCCGAAAUCGGACACUCAACCGACGGAGCCACCCAGGUACCCCAAGUAGCAUUCUUUUCAAAGACAUCCUUGAAAACCAUCUCUUUCCUUUGCCUUGAUUCUGCUUAUAUGAAAAAGAACUUUUGAAUGGGGAAUAUUUGUACAUGUAACCAAUUUUAAAGGUAAUGAAGUUAAAAGGUACAAAACACUAUACAAUGAAAAAAAUCUCUUAUCUUUGUUCCCUGAAGAUCCAGUUUCCUCCAACAGAAGCAACCACCAUUACUUGUUCCUCUCGCACCCUUCCGGAGAGAAUACAAGGAUAUCCAAGCAUAUGAGAAGACUGGGACCCAGACAGCUAAAGGGACUUGCCCAAGGUGACACAUCUCCAUAGUGUCAAAGUCUCCAGGCCUCUCACCCCAGAGUGACUUGGUAACAGCCUUUUCCACCCCCAAGCCCUCAAGUGUUCGUGAGUUCUCAAAGAAUUUGGAAAAUCAAUGUGCUGUUAUUCUAAUUUUGGUCUAUCUGCAUAUGUGACUUUGUGCUUUGGUGCUAAGAAUAGAAGACAUCAAAAUAGUGCUCUCAGCAACGCUGAGUGUACAGAAAAUUGAAGCGGAAAUGGAAAGGGUGCCCUCAGAGAGGAUGUCACAUCACCAGACUUUGGUUUUGAAGCCACCAGAAAGCAGAGAGAAGCUGUUUUUUUGAAGAGAAUUUCUUCAGCUACUGAAGGUUGGCUGAGUGUGCAUUAAGGCCUGAGCAGCAAUGCCACAUGCCUGGCAGAUGAUGGGCUCUGACCCAAAGAUAUGAGGUUACAGCUCUGGGGCAGACGAGCAGCCUGAGCUCUUUUCUCUGCCUGAUGGCCCCAGUGCCCGACUCUCUGAGGAAAUGAACAGAUGGUCACUGCAAGAGUCACUGAAUCUCCACAUUCAUUCAUUUUUUGGCGACCUUGGCCAGCCUCGGAACAGUCAGUCAAAUCUGCAUAAGGAAGCCGGCGGUAAUGGGGCUCGUGGGCACAGGUACUCAUCUGACACCUAAUUAAGCCAUCUUGGUAUAUCAUCUCUACAAUGCCUGUUAUUAUUUUAAGAAACAACAUAAAGAGAAUGAUAAUUAAAAGUAACACCCCGGGUGGGAAUUUUGUCUCCAUUCCAGUGGUUGGCAAGUAAAGCACCCUGGGUUUUUUUGUUUUGUUUUGUUUUUUUUCGGUUUUUUUUUGAGGUAACAUUUCUAUAAAUUUUCAUAGAGCACACAACCUCAAAGCUUGUCUCUGCUGCAGUUUCCCCCGAUUUCUCUGCCAAUGCUUUGGGUUUGUGGCUUCGUUCCACUGCUGUUUCCUUUCUUUUUUUCUUCUCCUUUUCACUGAGCGUUUUCUGAUUUUACUUGAACUUGCAAUGGGGGAGGGGAGGGUGUAUUGCUUCUGGAUAUUACAUGUCAUCUGAAGCAUAAAAUGCUAAACCCAGUUACAUGUUGUUUUCAGGUGAGAAGGCAAUUUUACACUUCACGGUUGGGCCCACACGAGGCAUUUUCAUGCAGGGAAAUUUUCCAUCCUAGACUCACAUCAAGAUGGCGCCCAGGGAUUUGCUACCAGUUGAAAGUUUGCCCAUUGUCUGUCUGCAGCCUUCCCACAUGGGCAUUCUUGAUAGACCUGUUCUCCAGAGUGCCACUAUCUACCCCUGGUCUUCAGGUUCCCCUGACAUAGCGUCAGUCAGGUCCCUGUGUCCUUUGCUACCUGCCUGGGUCCCGUGUCUACGACUUGAGCCACUUUGGUUAGUAACACUCUUACUGACCUGCCAUACACCCUGUCCUCUUGUCCCUUGUACCAGACCAAACCCCACCUUUGGAUCAUCCCACAAUCCACCUUCUCUGCUCCUGACGUGAAUCUGGAGAAAACUCCCAGUAGCACCAACUGAGGCCACCACCGAUUCCUGAUCACAAUCCUCACCUGGCAUCCUUUGACAAACACUUUACUUGCCCUCAAUCGUCUCCUUUGCCCCUAAAAACCCUCUUCCUUGACCCUGUAUCUCCACCUCAUGGAAACACCCCGUCUUCUUCCUUUCACAGAUUUCUGAAAGUGUAUCCAACACCAGCGGCUCCCAUGAGCUCAGUAGGUAGCUUAUACAGAUUCCCAGGCCCCACACUAAAGCAAAUCUCUGAGGUGGGGCCUGAGAUUUGUAUUCAAGAACGCUGUCUUCAUUGGGAACUACUCAUCGGCCUAUACUCUCUGACUUUCCUUCCUCACUUUCAGUGGCUUCUCCAGCUGUCACAGCCUGGCUUCUACCCUCACCACUCUGUGAAAUGAGGUCAGCAGGAACAGCCACGACAGCCCGCACACUCCCAGGUCUCCCCAGAGAGAGUACUCUCUGGAGUACUGAUGUUCUUGGUCACUCCAAGACUUCCGGUCACCUCCUCUCUUCCUUUGCCUUCUACUUCUGACCAUCUCCCUCAGCGCCUUUUGUGUAAGCUUUUCUUGCACCUUAAAUACUGGCGGUGUUUUCACAAGUGCAUCUCGCACUCCUUGUUGCUAGAUCCUCAGAGACACUAAGAAACUUCUCGAAGCUCAAGGUGAUCUUGAGAAAGCCUCCUCCUACCGUUGCCUCUUUCACUGUCCUAACUACCUCAGAUUCUUCACUGCCUGUGAGCUUCUCAAGGGCAGAGACUGUUCAGUCAUCUUUCCAUGGUCAGUGCCUCAGGAAGCAUGUAGCAAUUAGGAGGCACUCCAUAAAUGUUAGCUGAACUAAGUACAAGUCUGCUCCGAGUACUCGCGUGAAUCAGCCUUGGGCCCAUGGUGCGAAGCUCAAAGUUACCUCUCAGCCCCUUCAGAACAGGGUGACCUUGGAGGUAUGAAUUAGAGCCAGCCCCUGUCCAGACCUGGGGUGGGGAGGGGUGGGUGUUAAACAGCGGUUCUCCAAAGGUGGUAGUCAGAGCUCUAGCAAAUAACAUCUCUUCUGGCAAAUUUACUUGUUGUUAGUCUCAAAUGUUCAUAGGAAUGACAUCAUGCCUGGCCAAGUGCUAAUUUCUAAGCUUUCUUCCUGCCAAAUUUCCACCAUGCUGGCUCAUGCUUGCCAAUCUCGUAGCAGUGAUGUGUUUUCUAGCAGGGAACACAAGUAUUGCUUUGGGAGUUAUUCUGGAGCCUCAUAAAACUGUUCUUGGGGCCCCUUUAUAGAGAAGGAUUCCAUAAUGCACCCGGUUGGAGAGUGUUAUUGCUAUCAGGAGAGGUCCUUACAGUUUCUGUAGUGAACAUCCUUGAAUACUGUCUAAGAUGGACCUGUCAUUGAAGAAACAUCUCUAACUAACACCCCAUAAGUUCCAAUAUCAUGUUUCGGGUUUUUAGCGUCAUUCAAACCCUUUCCUGAAUAACACCAGUCUUAUUUCUUUGAGCACAGGACCUGUACUAUAUUCAUGGCUGUAGGUUCUCCACACAAGCAGGGCAUAUCUGUUUUGUUCAGCAUUGCUUCCCUGGGGCUGGCAUAGCACCCAGCAUAUAGCAAGUACUUGGUGUCAGUUGGUGAUGGAGAACGGAAAAAGAAGAAACUUGGGGAGCAGACUCACGGCUGGAGGUGCUUGUCUCCAGAACUGUGGAGCUGAAGGUGACAACCAGGACACCAUGCUCUGGCUUCCUGCUUACAGUGAGGCCCCAGGGUUCCUGCCUGCUCCUACCCUCCAUGGACUGAUGGCCAGGCCUGGAGUCUUGACGGCACCAAGGGCUGGUGGAUAUUGAAAGGCAAGUUCAUUCAUCUGGUCAGGCAGGAACUGGAAAGCUGCCCAUCCAACCCCCACCCCUGGCUGCUGUUUCUCCUCCAGACGGAAACUUGGGGAAAUUUCUUUCCUUCUGGGUGUGCCGUCUCCUUCCUCUAGCUAAUCUUCUCGCUUCCUUCCAAAACUGUAUUGGUGAUGAAUUAGCAAAAUAAAAAAAUUUAAAGCCACCCUGAAGAUUACAAAAAGAAAAACAUACUACUGCUAAAUCUCUAAAACAAUGGCUGUCUUUGUAUACAAUGAUACAUAGUAGGAUAACCAUAAACUAUCAUUUCCUUAAGAGAGGAGAGAAGACCAGACCCUCUGUGGACCAAGGUGAUGUGAUCAACUCAUACAGGGUUUUACACAGAAUUUCAGGGGCCCGUGAAUCCCCUGAAGAUCUCUCAUCAUCUUCCCAGGCAUACACGUAUGGACCCUGGUUAUGAAUACCUAGGUUAGAGAUUCCACGGGGUCAGUAGAAACUGACAGGACCUCAGAGUUCAAGUGAUGUGACCCUCAUCUGAUGAGAGUUAGCAGAUUAGGUAUGAGGCCCAGAGAGUGUUCCUGGCUGACUCAAAGAGCGCACAGCUGGUGGACAGCAGAAGGGAGACCUUCACCUAGGUUUUCUGAAUCCUGGUCACCCUGCAAUAUUGUGUUAAUAUGCUCUGUGGAAAACAAAUGUCAAGAAGGGAGAAGAAUGGAGAGAGACUGAGUAUAGGGAAAGGAAGGAAUAUCUGUUCCUAGAAUGUACAGACUGGCUAUUACUGGGUUUCAUUUUUGUGUUUGGCAGAGUUUUCCAGCUUCGAGCCAAAGAGACCAAGCCUGAAGCUCCCUUCCAGCCCCCUACUUCAGACCUGUAACUGAAUCCUGACAGGUCAUCUCAGGCAGACCAGUGAAGGGGAAGAUAAGAAAGAAGAAAAGCAAAGAUGCUGGAGUCUUGCAGCCUAACAACACACGAGACACACGAGGGAUAUUGUUUGCCUGGAAGCCUCCGGGGAUGGCAAAAUGGCAGAAAUUUCCAGUGGGGAAAAUGUGGGGUGGGGGGGUGGGGGUGCUAAAUUAUUUGAAUGGGACCCUUUGAAGGCUUCUGCUACCCCUACACCUGCUGAGGCUUUCCACUGAGCUUUGGGAAAAGGCUAGCUUUUCAUAGCAGAGCAGAGAAAGGGGGAGAAUGAAGGAGGCACGUAAUGCAGGCUGUUGUCUUCUGUGUUUUACUGACUGAAAGGGCUGAAGACAUUUUAUAUGCUCCAAGUUGCCAACAGGAAGAAAGGGAGCUCGAGAUUCUCAGAGGUCUGAGGGCCCUGCCUGAGGUAGAGGUCUAUUUUUUUUUUUUUUUUUAACAUUUAUUUUUGAGACAGAGAGAGACACAGCAUGAACGGGGGAGGGGCAGAGAGAGAGGGAGACACAGAAUCGGAAGCAGGCUCCAGGCUCUGAGCCAUCAGCCCAGAGCCCGACGGCGGGGCUCGAACUCACGGACCGCGAGAUCGUGACCUGAGCUGAAGUCGGACGCUUAACCGACUGAGCCACCCAGGCGCCCCUGAGGUAGAGGUCUAAAUGGAGGCUAUAUGUUUAAGACAAGGGGAUUUCAUGAUAUGUGCUUGCUUUGGCUCCCUAAAAGUGUAUGCCAAGGUAUCCCUUUCCUUUCUGUGUGACAACGCCAGAUCAGUAACAAACAAAAUGGAGGAUAAGACUCCACCCCUCCCCCAAACACACACAGGGGAAGGUCCCCUUUUACUGAGUACCUCAGCCACAGUAUUAACAACUGCUGUAAAAGAAGAGGUGCUACUUUCUCAUGACAAUGGGUUUUCCCUUCACCUGAAAAAUUAUUUACCGAAUAUCUAUAACCAAGGUGGAAAAUCACCUGCAAAGUUUAGACCUACAUCAGCAUUUCCCUCAAAAAUAGUUUUUAUAAAGGGCAAACAAAAAGAAGGAGUUGAAAGACAAACACAAGUA